AUACGUAGGUGACAAGCGUUAUCCGGAUUUAUUGGGUUUAAAGGGAGCGUAGGCGGGAGCUUAAGUCAGCGGUUAAAUGGUGCGGCUCAACCGUGCCCUGCCGUUGAAACUGGGUUUCUUGAGAGUGCAAGAGGCGGAUGGAAUUCAUGGUGUAGCGGUGAAAUGCUUAGAUAUCAUGAAGAACUCCGAUUGCGAAGGCAGUCCGCUGGGGCACGUCUGACGCUGAUGCUCGAAGGUGCGGGAAUCAAACAGGAUUAGAUACCCUGGUAGUCCGCACGGUAAACGAUGAUUACCCGCUGUCGGCGGCAGACAGUCGGCGGCCAAGCGAAAGCGAUAAGUAAUCCACCUGGGGAGUACGCCGGCAACGGUGAAACUUAAAGGAAUUGACGGGG
rnacentral:rRNA from 1 species